rnacentral:misc_RNA from 1 species
GAUGAAGAACGUAGCGAACGUGCGAAACGUAAUGUGAAUUGCAGAAUUCAGUGAAUCAUCGAAUCUUUGAACGCAUCUUGCGCUCCUUGGUAUUCCGAGGAGCAUGCCUGUUUGAGUGUCAUGAAUCAUAUCAAUUUCAAACAUUUUUUGUUUGAAAUUGGAUGUGGAUGUUGUUGUGAUUAUUAUGCAACUCAUCCUAAAUACAUUAGCGGUCUGCCUUAUCACGCACAAUGUGAUAAGAAAAAGCAUUGUUGAGGUCGAGUCAAGGUUGCUUCCAAUCGUCGAAAGACAACAGCAUAUAUAAUGCCAUCUGACCUCAAAUCAGGUAGGAUUACCCGCUGAACUUAAGCAUAUCAAUAAGCGGAGGA